GUGAAGACAGAGGUGGAGCUGCACAGUAGUAUCCUCAGAAGCAGAGGCACAGGAAUUCAGUCUUUAUAGUUUAGACAUGCCUCAGAGCAUUUAUGAUGAUGUGGCCUUCAUUGAGGAUCUGAACAGAAGAGAGCGAGUGGAGAUGGUGGUGGAUAUCUAUGAAAGUGCAGAUGCUGUUAAGAUCAUGAAGAGGCAGAACAUGCUAACGCAGAGAGGAAACCAAGAAUGCAAACCACAGUUUCAGAUCCUGUCCCAGCCUGCAGCUGAUCUCACGAUCCCUCUUCCCAUCACUCAUAAACAAGACCCCAAGAUACUUAAACUCCUCCACCUUGGGCAGGUCCUUUUCCCCCUUACCUGGAGUGGGCAUGCCAUCCUUUUCUGGGCUAAGACCAUAGACUCAGACUGGCGGUGCUGAUCCGCAUACCAACCGCUCCACACUCAGCUGCAAACCACUCCAGCGAGCGCUGAAGGCAUCCAUGUGAUUUCUUGUCACUGAACAACAUUUGCAAAUGGCAGAGAUGCCACCCUCCGGCCUCUACACAUAAUGCCCUCCUGAUCCCGGCUACGCCCCGACACUGUCCAUGAAGAUCACAAGCAGGAGUGGAGAUGGGGCACAACCCUGGCUGAGUCCAACGCUAACACUGAAGGAGUCUGACUUAAUGCCGAGUAUAUGGACACAGCUCUCGCUCUGGGAGUACAGAGACUGGAUGGCCUGGAGUAGUAGCCCCGGAGGACCUCCCACAAGAUAUCUUUAAUGCACAUGUAAGCCUUGUCCAAAUCCACAAAACGCAUGUAGACUGGGUUGGUAAACUCCCAUAACCCCUCAAUAAUCUGUGAUGGUGUGAAAAGCUGGUCCGUUGGUCCACAGCCAGGACGGAAUCCGCAUUUUCUCCUCAAUCUUCAACUAUUGGUCAGUCUCCUUUCCAGUACCUUGGCACAGACUUUCCCAGGGAGGUUGAGCAAUGUGAUACCCUGAUAGUUGGUGCAUGCCCUCUGGUCCCCCAUUUUUAAUUUUUUGGCCACAACAGCCCCACAAUAUCCAGAGCCUUAAGCAUCUCUGGAAGGGUCUCGGCACCAGGGGUGGAUUUGCCACUGAGGAGCUAACCAACUACCUCAGUGACCUCCACCAGGGAACUGGAACUUGACAUUCCAGGAGCCUCCUGGCCCUGCCUCCCGUGAGGGAGGCACAUCUCCUGGAUUAAAGAGUUCUUCAGUGAUCCUUCCACCAACCGACAAUAUCCUCAUUUGAAGUCAGUUUCUCGACCCUUGCCAAAUGCAGCUUAGGCGCAGCCACCCCGACUACUCCGGAGUCAAAUCAAAUUUUAUCUGUAUAGCGCUUUUUACAACGGAUGUUGUCACGAAGCAGCUUUGCAGAAUUUCGGAAAAGAGUUUAGAAAAGACAGUUUUAACAGGACUGCAAGAAUGUACAGGAAAACCCCCGGUGGGCAAGCCAGGGGCAACAGUGGCAAGGAAAAACUCCCUCAGAACUGAGGAAGAAACCUUGGGAGGAACCAGGCUCACCAGGGGGGACCCAUCCUCCUCUGGUCAAACUACCAUCAAGUGAUGCUAUUACUAAUACUAACACUAAUCUUCCGCCAGCUGCGAAAAUUUUCGUAAGGGAAACCAGCGACCAUGUAGCCCACUCCCCUGCUGUGAAGCAAUUAACGCCCAUUGUCUUGGUAAUGAUAUGGAGUGCGGUGGAAGUGGAAACCCCCCAUGCCCACCUCGAGCUCAUACAACUCCCAAAGCAACGAACAUGAUACAACUUCAAGGUAAACUUGAAGUUACAAGUGGACUGUGUUACCGAUCCUACAACAAAAUUUGUAGACCCGUGUUUCAAAAGUUAAAAUUCAAGCGCACGUAGCAGCAGAUGUCGAGACGACUGUCACUAAUGAAUCCCGCUAAACAAUAAAAACUACAGUUUGAAUCUCGCUCUUUGUACAUUUCUUUUACUAUAAUAUAUAAUA
ensembl:lncRNA